GUUGGGUUAAGUCCCGCAACGAGCGCAACCCCUACGCUGAGUUACCAGCACGUAAAGGUGGGGACUCUCAGUGGACUGCCGGCGACAAGCCGGAGGAGGGUGGGGACGACGUCAAGUCAUCAUGGCCCUCAUGUCCAGGGCGACACACGUGCUACAAUGGCCGGCACAACGGGAAGCGACGGCGCGAGUCGUAGCGGAUCCCUCAAAGCCGGUCCCAGUUCGGAUUGCAGUCUGCAACUCGACUGCAUGAAGCCGGAAUCGCUAGUAAUCGUGGAUCAGCCAAGCCGCGGUGAAUACGUUCCCGGGCCUU
rnacentral:rRNA from 1 species